rnacentral:rRNA from 1 species
AUUGAACGCUGGCGGCAGGCCUAACACAUGCAAGUCGAACGAGUGGCGGACGGGUGAGUAAUGUCUGGGAAACUGCCUGAUGGAGGGGGAUAAAUACUGGAAACGGUCGCUAAUACCCAAUACACUCGGAUGUGCCCCGAUGGGAUUAGCUAGUAGGUGGGGUAAAGGCUCACCUAGGCGACGAUCCCUAGCUGUUCUGAGAGGAUGACCAGCCACACUGGAACUUGGCCACGGUCCAGACUCCUACGGGAGGCAGCAGGGGGGAAUAUUGCACAAUGGGCGCAAGCCUGAUGCAUCCAUGCCGCGUGUAUGAAGAAGGCCUUCGGGUUGUAAAGUACUUUCAGCGGGGAGGCGUUACCCACAGAAGAAGCACCGGCUAACUCCGUGCCAGCCGCCGCGGUAAUAC